UGCAGCCGGGACAUCAGGGAGAGAUGGAAUAAAGGGGAUCCGGGGUACAACUGGUCCACUUGGACCACCAGGACCAAAAGGAGAUCAGGGUAAUAUUGGACCUCCCGGACCAAGGGGUACACCAGGGAUGCCUGGACUUCCUGGUUUGUUUGGACUAAAGGGGCCCAAGGGCUUUGAUGGUCCUUCAGGACAUCCUGGACAGAGGGGCCUUCCAGGACCACCUGGGCCACCAGGCCCUCCUGGCCCACCCUUAAACUACACACUAGCCCAGAUCAAG